rnacentral:rRNA from 1 species
UGGGGAAUAUUGCACAAUGGGCGCAAGCCUGAUGCAGCCAUGCCGCGUGUAUGAAGAAGGCCUUCGGGUUGUAAAGUACUUUCAGCGGGGAGGAAGGGAGUAAAGUUAAUACCUUUACUCAUUGACGUUACCCGCAGAAGAAGCACCGGCUAACUCCGUGCCAGCAGCCGCGGUAAUACGGAGGGUGCAAGCGUUAAUCGGAAUUACUGGGCGUAAAGCGCACGCAGGCGGUCUGUCAAGUCGGAUGUGAAAUCCCCGGGCUCAACCUGGGAACUGCAUUCGAAACUGGCAGGCUAGAGUCUUGUAGAGGGGGGUAGAAUUCCAGGUGUAGCGGUGAAAUGCGUAGAGAUCUGGAGGAAUACCGGUGGCGAAGGCGGCCCCCUGGACAAAGACUGACGCUCAGGUGCGAAAGCGUGGGGAGCAAACAGG